rnacentral:snRNA from 1 species
AUACCUUUCUCGGCCUUUUGGCUAAGAUCAAGUGUAGUAUCUGUUCUUAUCAGUUUAAUAUCUGAUACAUGGGCCAUUGGCCCACUCGAUAUUAAAUUUAGUUUUUGAGGGGGAGGAUCCAUUACGGUAGCUUGCUACUGGGGAUUCUCAGGCGUAGCCCAAGCUCUGCACUAUUGCUUUGGCCUGGCGCACCUCAC